GAUGAACGCUGGCGGCGUGCCUAAUACAUGCAAGUCGAGCGAACGGACGAGAAGCUUGCUUCUCUGAUGUUAGCGGCGGACGGGUGAGUAACACGUGGAUAACCUACCUAUAAGACUGGGAUAACUUCGGGAAACCGGAGCUAAUACCGGAUAAUAUUUUGAACCGCAUGGUUCAAAAGUGAAAGACGGUCUUGCUGUCACUUAUAGAUGGAUCCGCGCUGCAUUAGCUAGUUGGUAAGGUAACGGCUUACCAAGGCAACGAUGCAUAGCCGACCUGAGAGGGUGAUCGGCCACACUGGAACUGAGACACGGUCCAGACUCCUACGGGAGGCAGCAGUAGGGAAUCGUCCGCAGUGGGCGAAAGCCUGACGGAGCAACGCCGCGUGAGUGAUGAAGGUCUUCGGAUCGUAAAACUCUGUUAUUAGGGAAGAACAUAUGUGUAAGUAACUGUGCACAUCUUGACGGUACCUAAUCAGAAAGCCACGGCUAACUACGUG
rnacentral:rRNA from 1 species